CGCAUAGCACUCAAGAUCCGCUUAUGGACGAAUUCGGUGUAUACGAAAGUUAUUCUAAAGCCAUGUUGGGCAAGCUUGUGAGAAAAGAACAAGAGGGGUUUCACAUGACCUUGGGCUGGAAAAGUGGAUCCUUCAAGAGUUCAAGGUGAAUAAAAGUUUGCUGCUAGGCAAGGAAGGAGAAGGUCCUCGAAAAUAUGAAAUGAUGCAGAAAUCAUCUUGGUACUGCGCGUUUUAUAGAACUUUAUUUUCUUUGAUAAUGAGAUUAAUAGCUAUCAUAUCAAGAUAGCUUUCAGUAGUAAUGGCUAUUAUGUUAUAACUUGCAGGUAAACUUAAUUAUUGACUAGUGUAGUUCUAGCGUUGAUUUUUCAUGUAAUUAGUUUUUGUAUGAUGUGGGACUUUAGUGAUUAAAAAUAAUAGGUAUUAUUAGGUUAA